UUGAGCUCGGAAAAUUUGAACUCUUUAAGAUUACUUGGCAUUCUGGAGAAACUAGGAUAAUAUUUGGACAUUUUUAAUUUAGUUGUUGGAUCAUGGAUACUUUGGUCACUUGACUCCGAUCCAGAUGCAGUACGAUCUGUAAAUCCAGAGCUCAAGGACCGGAUUGUGCUUUGUGUUGGACUUAUUGGCGGUUCAUCCUUGCCGUCACAGUAAGGGAACUGAAAGCACAUCAUAGUGUCUCAAAGGGCCCUGUAUCGCCUGCAAAACCACAAUAGUGAUCGCUACAGCUAGCGAUAUGUAUUUAUUACCUUAACCACCAGCUGGCGAUCACAAGAAAUCAAAACUGAAUUAUCCAAGAAGAAAAAGAGCAAUUGAAUAGAGAAACAGGAUGCAAACUGGAGAGGAUGGAAGUUUUGACUUUUGACCAAACCGAUG
rnacentral:lncRNA from 1 species